rnacentral:rRNA from 1 species
GACGAACGCUGGCGGCGUGCUUAACACAUGCAAGUCGAACGUGAUUUUUGUGGAAAUUCUUUCGGGAAUGGAAAUGAAAUGAAAGUGGCGAACGGGUGAGUAACACGUGAGCAACCUACCUUACACAGGGGGAUAGCCGUUGGAAACGACGAUUAAUACCGCAUGAGACCACAGAAUCGCAUGAUAUAGGGGUCAAAGAUUUAUCGGUGUAAGAAGGGCUCGCGUCUGAUUAGCUAGUUGGAAGGGUAAAGGCCUACCAAGGCGACGAUCAGUAGCCGGUCUGAGAGGAUGAACGGCCACAUUGGAACUGAGACACGGUCCAAACUCCUACGGGAGGCAGCAGUGGGGAAUAUUGCACAAUGGGGGGAACCCUGAUGCAGCGACGCCGCGUGAGCGAAGAAGGUUUUCGAAUCGUAAAGCUCUGUCCUAUGAGAAGAUAAUGACGGUAUCAUAGGAGGAAGCCCCGGCUAAAUACGUGCCAGCAGCCGCGGUAAUACGUAUGGGGCGAGCGUUGUCCGGAAUUAUUGGGCGUAAAGGGUACGUAGGCGGUUUUUUAAGUCAGGUGUGAAAGCGUGGGGCUUAACCUCAUUAAGCACUUGAAACUGGAAGACUUGAGUGAAGGAGAGGAAAGUGGAAUUCCUAGUGUAGUGGUGAAAUGCGUAGAUAUUAGGAGGAAUACCGGUGGCGAAGGCGACUUUCUGGACUUUUACUGACGCUCACGUACGAAAGCGUGGGGAGCAAACAGG